rnacentral:lncRNA from 1 species
AAAAAAAAAAAAAAAAAAGAAUGCCCUGCUCAAGUAACAAGGACCACAGAGCGCAGCCAAUGAAGAACGUGCACAAUGAAGGGAUGUCAGCUCUAGGACGACUAGAGCUGCUUCUUCUGUCCAGUCAGAAUCAGAAGAAACCUAGGAGCAGACACAAGCAGCAGAGCGGUUUCCUGAAAAUGGAUGCACUUGUCCACGUCCAUUCCCUCCUUAGCACACCCAGUGCAUCCUGAACACAGCACAGAAGCCAAGCAGGAUUGGGUCUGGUCAGUACCUGGAUGGGAACAUAGACAAACUCACACUAAGUAUAACCUGCAUGUAUGUAUUAAAUAUUU